UACGAAGGGUGCAAGCGUUAUUCGGAAUGACUGGGUGUAAAGAGCGUGAAGGCGGUUUGAUAAGUCAGUUGUUAAAGAGCCCGGCUUAACUGGGCAAAUGCGAUUGAAACUGUCAGGCUAGAGUACAAGAGAGAAGGGUAGAAUUCUCGGAGUAGCGGUAAAAUGCGUAGAUCUCGAGAGGAAUACCGGUUGCGAAGGCGGCCCUUUGGCUUGUAACUGACGCUAUAGCGCGAAAGCGUGGGGAGCAAACAGG
rnacentral:rRNA from 1 species